AAGAGGUAAAACCCCUAGUCGCAUAGAAGAUUUUUUCCUCUCACUUCAUUGUCGUUGCCAAAAAUGGAAAAGGCGUGGGUCAAUCCUAUGAAGUGCAGUCUUGCGCGCCCAUUUUGGGCAAGAGCAAUUAAUGCUCUUGCCCUGUUUCACCGUCACCACAGCAUAUCAGCCAAGGAAAGAGGCUGAGUUCGUAUGGUAAGGAGCAAAGAAAUCUCCAAGUCCAAUCUCGACAUUUUUGGCUAAACACAACAAAGGUACUUUUCUCUCCUUUAUUUAUUUUUUAGCAGUUCUUUAUUUGCUUUGCUAUGUGAUUAUAUGAUUUGUGUUUGUUAGUCCUGAUUAGUUAGCUAUGUAUGUAUGCUUAGUUUAGUUUAGUAUUUCCUUAAAACAGUUAAUACAUGUUUAUCUUAGAUUAGUUCUGUGUUAUCUAGAUUAGUUUAGUUUGGUAAUGUCCCUAUAGACUUUGCUUAACUUAAUCAACUGCCUAAACAUGUGAUUUUCUUAGAAGUUUACUAGUCCAUUAAAAUGCUUGACUGAACUAAUGUUCUACCAUGUGUGUAAAGAGAUUCUUAGCAUAUCUAAUAUCUAUUUUCAUACCAACUUACUUGAUCAUAUGUUAGUAUUCCAGUUGAUUAGAAUGAAUUACUUGGUUGUGACAUGUUAGUUUUUGUUUAUUAGUGGAGGUUUACAUUAGGAUGCUGUGUUGAAUGGGAUUGAUUAGUUGGGAUUUAAUUCAGUUAUUAUGUUGGUAGUCUCUGUGUUUUUUCCCAAAAUCAGGGCAAUUAGUUCAUCUUUGAAUAGGUAGCCCGGUUAACCAGAUAAGCUGGAGGGACUUCCUGCAGAUAAAUGACUAAGUAUGUGUCAGGGUGAAUAGACUAGGAGUCCAGAGUGUUAAACAUGCCUAGUUAAUUGCACUGUCCAAACAUGUAUCUUUCUUGACUUAACAAAGUUUAUGAGAAAUGUUGUUUCUACUUAGGGAAACAUGUCUAAAUUAAUCAAGUUAUAAGGGAUGAGGGGAAGUUUUAGGUGUCCUUUGUAGUCUGUGUGUUUGGUGCCUAGCUACAAAUUCAGAAAUGUUUGUCUUGUUGGGUUUUUUAACUACUCUCAUUUCCUGUUAAGUGUAUAGUAUGUUUGUUAAAUUAUUGGUUUGGAUUAACUCUAGCUUAAUCAUUGGUGCAUGCACCUGAUAUAUGCUCACAGUAGGGAAACACUCAUAUUGCAUAGUUGCCUGCUUGGAUUUAAGUUAGUAACUUGUCAUUUUGUUUUGUUUGUCAUGUCCUAUCAUGAGAUCAGUGAUAGCUUAACAUGUUUGGCUACAUCUAAGAUUCAAAUUUGGGUUUAGAUAUGUCUAUAGGGGUUUUAAUCAGAAAAAAUAUUUAUUUUACCUCUAAAAUGCUAGUGUUACAGUGUAAGAAUAUUCAUAUCCUUUUAUUUGCUUGAAUACUAUCCUCAACAUGUCUAAAAGUAUGUUUGUCAUGAUUUUCUCAAGUGUUUAAAUUUUCAUUCCCUCUAUUGUUUUCAUGAAAACUCUAGACUAAAGGGGUGCCUAAAUGAGUUUUAAACUGGAUAGGAUAAGGUACUUAUGUGUUGAAAGGAAACUGGAGUAGUAGGGCCUUAAUAUGCUUAUUCUAAUUUGUUCCACCUAGUUUAGCACAAAAACUGUCUUAAUUUGCUUCAUUUUAAGCUAAUAAGUUUUAAUCCUUUAAUGAACACUCCAUCUUCUCAUGUUUAACUUGAAAUCUUGUGGUUCUAUGACAUCAGUGAUGGUUUGUGAUAUUUAAGUUGUUCAUGUGUGUUUUUGCUUAAACUAUUUUGCAUCUUCUCAUGUUUCACAUGUGCCUAAGUUAUCCUAUCUGUAUGAAAGAACUGAAUCUGUUGGUUUGAAUACUUUGUUUGGAAAAUCCCAAAGAUGGCAUAAGCUCUUUGUAUGGUCUAAAAGUGACAUGUUUUGACCCUGCUCUUACCUUAUGAGAUUUUGUAUGCACGUUUUGAAUUAACGUUGACCCUGUCUUGUCUCAUUGAAUCUCUUUGAAGUGCAAUGUGCAUGUCUUAAGUCUGGUUUGGCCUCAUAGUGUGUUAAAAGCUUUCCUCAUAAAUGGUUUUAACCUUCCCUCUUGUUUUGUACUUGUUUAUUGGUAUAGUUUGACUUUUUCUGUGGUAGGUGUAAAAUCAGUCUUCCCAUAUUGUAAACCACUCUACUUUCUUAGGCUUAAUACCCAGAUGGACCCUUAAACUUGGCAUGUUUUGUAAGAUAGGCAUAUAAACUUAUAAGGUGACCAGAUAGACACUUAAACUUACUCAAAGUGUAUUUUUCAAGUUUUUCAGUUGUUUUGAAAACAAAAACUAUAUUUUUCAAACACUCACAAUUUUCAUGGCCAAACAAGCCCUAAAUAUAUCACAAAAUAUUUUUUUUAAAAUGCAAAAAUAAGGCAAACGCAUAUACAUGAGACUAUAAAUGUGCACUUAAACCAAUAAAUACUCGCUAAUCGCAAUUUUGCAGCUUUCAAUUAACUCGGAUGUUUUUUUACACUUGAAUAAUUAAAAAACAAUAACUUUAACCAAUAAAAAUCCUUAAAAAAAGAAAUUUCAAAUUAAGAAAUAUCUUUUUUUUUAAGGAUUUUCUUCUCGGCUUUACAGUUUUCUUAAUUUGAAAUUUCUUUUACACUUGAAAUACUGAACUUAGAAAUUUCUUAAUUUGAAAUUUCUUUUUUUAAGGAUUUUUAUUGGUUAAAGUUAUUGUUUUUUAAUUAUUCAAGUGUAAAAAAAAAAUCCGAGUUAAUUGAAAGCUGCAAAAUUGCGAUUAGCGAGUAUUUAUUGGUUUAAGUGCACAUUUAUAGUCUCAUGUAUAUGCGUUUGCCUUAUUUUUGCAUUUUAAAAAAAUAUUUUGUGAUAUAUUUAGGGCUUGUUUGGCCAUGAAAAUUGUGAGUGUUUGAAAAAUAUAGUUUUUGUUUUCAAAACAACUGAAAAAUACACUUUGAGUAAGUUUAAGUGUCUAUCUGGUCACCUUAUAAGUUUAUAUGCCUAUCUUACAAAAUAUGUCAAGUUUAAGGGUCCAUCUAGGUAUUAAGCCACUUUCUUAUAAUCCCUUUACCUGUGUUGGCAUGAUAGAAUUCUGCAGUUUGUUCACUAUAUGAAUCAUAUGCUUAGUUUAAGGACUUGAACAUACUCAUUCCAGUUUUGAUUUAACAUGACCAUAAGUGUGUUAGUAACUUCUUUUCUAUGCUUUUACUGAUUUGUCUCAUAUUAUGGGGUUGAUAUAGGAAUUAUCUUGGCAAUAAUUGAAAGAAACUUGCGGGAUUAGUCGGGGCUCAAAGAGACCCGGACACCCGGUGCUUAAUCAAAAAAAAAAAAAUUGAAAGAAACUUGUCAUGUGCUUGCUUUGUUUAAAUUUGAAGUCAAGAACGGCACAUCUAUAGACUAAAUGUUGAUAUAGACGUGUUAUAAACAUCAAUAAGGAUCAAAUGCAUCAAACAUGAGUCAUGUAUAGCCUGAUAUAUGCUUAACUUGCAUUAUUUCACAUCUACGUCUAUCCUUAGCCUUGUUUAGAGUUGUUGCUGUGUUGAUAUAUGCAAAAUAUACAAAGUAUACAUGUUUCGUAUACACUCGGGUGUAUAUAAGGGGUGUACACCUCAUAUAUCAUUAAUUUUAACUUAUAAACCUGGCUUGUAUACUUCAUGGUGGGCCUGUUUUUCUUCGCCUACUGGGCUUGUUGUUUUCAAUUGAUCCUAGAUUUGGGCUUGCUUUUUUUGUGAUUUGUGCCUGCUUGCCCAUAUUUUCAGCUUGUUUCCAUUUCACUGAAUACUACAUGUAUACUUAGUUAUAUAGAAGACAUAUGAUUUAUACGUAUCCGUGUUUAUCCAUUUAGAUUCUUUAUUAAUUCGUUGGUUGAGUUUAGAUACCCUCUAACUGCUAUUUUCCUUUUUUCCCCCUCCCUUUUUGCAUGGAACCAUCAUCAUGGGCCACUCGGGCCAGUCUCCUCGUUCAAAGAUUGUUGGGCCAGAGGCCCAACUUCCUUUUUUCCGUGAUCGAUUCCAAACCAAAGACGAAAUAAGAAGGCCCAACCAUGGGUGAAAAUGGUCAAUGGUGGGCAUAGGUAGGCCCACCAGCCUAACUUUCUUCUCUUGCCAUUAUUGGGUAUAUAUAUGUUUGCAUAUGUAUAUGUUGUAUAUGCAAAUGCUAAUAUUAUUAGUGGAACCCGAAUGUGAUUAGAAUUUAGGAAAAACUCGUGUAGUGGGUUAAACAUUUUCCACAAAAAAUGGUUUUCGCAGUUAAA